rnacentral:rRNA from 1 species
UACGGAGGGUCCAAGCGUUAUCCGGAUUUAUUGGGUUUAAAGGGUCCGUAGGCGGGAGAUUAAGUCAGUGGUGAAAGCCUACAGCUCAACUGUAGAACUGCCAUUGAAACUGAUUUUCUUGAAUAUAGAUGAAGUGGGCGGAAUAUAUCAUGUAGCGGUGAAAUGCAUAGAUAUGAUAUAGAACACCGAUUGCGAAGGCAGCUCACUAAACUAUUAUUGACGCUGAGGGACGAAAGUGUGGGGAGCGAAC